UUUUCAAAUGCAAUCAAGGCUUCCUAUAUACGGGCGGAAAGGCGGCUUCCUCCGCUGAGAAAGCUGAAGGUCCUUACCUGCGGCGUACGGACUGCUCUGGUGGUCCCUGAGGGUGCCCAGGCUGCAGGAUCCCGGCGUGAGGGAAGGGCAGCCGGACGUGGCCCCAAAAGUGGUCCUUAUCGGGUUAUACUGGAAGCCACUGGCCUGGCUGCAGGAACUGAAGUCAGCAUAGGCUGAAGCCAGGCUCGAGGUGUCCAUCCCAGCCAUACAGGACUCGUAGGCAGAGGAAUUGAGGGUUCUCACAACCAAUUGAAAGAGAAUAAAACAUUCUCUUGCUUCAUAACCAAAGUGCUGCUCACACUUACAGCAACCUUUGGAAGGGGAAUCCUGGCUAUUGAUGUCCCUGGAAAGAGAGUGGUAGAAGAAAAGAAAUUGAAGACAUGGAAGAAAGAUGAAAACGCUGGCUACUAAAUACCUAUGUGUGGUUACUGAGUGUGGUAUACUUGGACACCGAGCUCCCCCACCCAUCAGAUGUCACAAAGAGUCCUCUUACUCUUGGAUAAUUUCAAAUCAAACUGACCUCCCCAGAUAUUGAGAAGCAAAAUAAUCAACAACAACAAAACCUGCCUUGUAAAUAUGAUUUACAUUGAUUAUGUGGGGAUGUUCUGAAGGUAAGGAGGAAAAAAGGAUUAUUGAGUAUUUGCCCUAGUGUUGCACAUUAGGUUUAAUUUGCAUGGUGAGGGUGUGCUUUCCUGGAGAGGUAAAAAAAAAUGUUAAUUGUGUAGAACUCUCCAAGGUUGACUCACAUCUUAUCUAUGUCAUACUGCUAUAAGUAUACCAAAAAUAUGGCUUAUAUAAAAG
rnacentral:lncRNA from 1 species